rnacentral:rRNA from 1 species
AUACGGAGGGUCCGAGCGUUAUCCGGAAUCAUUGGGUUUAAAGGGUCCGUAGGCGGGAAUCUAAGUCAGUGGUGAAAUCUUGCAGCUCAACUGUAAAAUUGCCAUUGAUACUGGAUUUCUUGAAUUAGUGUGAAGUGAUUAGAAUGUGUAGUGUAGCGGUGAAAUGCAUAGAUAUUACACAGAAUACCAAUUGCGAAGGCAGAUCACUAACACUAUAUUGACGCUGAGGGACGAAAGCGUGGGGAGCGAACAGGAUUAGAAACCCCUGUAGUCC